ACGCUGGCGGCAUGCUUAACACAUGCAAGUCAACGGGCUGGAUUUGCUAUAGCGAUAUAGGAGAGUCCAGUUUAGUGGCGAACGGGUGAGUAACGCGUGAGCAACCUGCCGUACACACUGGGAUAACAGAGGGAAACUUCUGCUAAUACCGGAUAUGACCACGAGGGGGCAUCCCCAUGGGGUGAAAGUGAAUUAGCGGUGUACGAUGGGCUCGCGUCCUAUUAGGUAGUUGGUGAGAUAACAGCCCACCAAGCCGAUGAUAGGUAGCCGACUUGAGAGAGUGAUCGGCCACAAUGGAACUGAGACACGGUCCAUACUCCUACGGGAGGCAGCAGUGGGGAAUAUUGGGCAAUGGGCGAAAGCCUUACCCAAGCAAUGCCGCGUGAAUGAUUGAAGGUCUUCGGAUUGUAAAGUUCUUUUAUUGGUGACGAACAAAAUGACGGUAGCCGAUGAAUAAGCCCCGGCUAACUACGUGCCAGCCGCAGC
rnacentral:rRNA from 1 species